CUUGGUGUGGAAGCUUGGGACCAGGGCCGGCUUUAGGAGCUUCGGGGCCCGAUUGGAAUAGCCAGCGGCGGUUGGUCCGCUCCGCGUCUUCCGCGGCACUGAAGGACCCCCCGCCACCGAAGACCCCAGAGCGGACCCCCGCCCCAUCGCUGAAAUGCCACCGGAGCGGACCGCCGCCGGGCCAAGGCCCUGAAAGCAGUCGAUGGUCAUCUGUGUGGAUUGGAUGGCUUCUUUGCGAAUUUUCGACUUGAGGAGGCAAUCGUCCAGGGCAUGUAUGGAGGCCAAGAUUGCGCAGGGUAGCCCUGGAAUCCUUCAUGGUCUGCAGCACCUCAUUGGUCGUUGCUACAAAUAAUUUCUCACCAUCGAAGAGGAGAUCCUCCAUGGUGUUCUGUAUCUCACAAGGAAAAGAGUAAGAGUUGAACCAUGAAGCCCAACACAUAACAACAGCUAUCGCAGUGGAUCUGGCUGCAGUGUCCACAGCAUCAAGGGCAGCCUGGAGUUAUUUGUCCUUCAGAUACCACUGCCUUGAAUUGUUGUCCCUUUUCUUCUGGAAUAUUGUUAAUAAAUUCCCUGGAU